rnacentral:rRNA from 1 species
UACAGAGGUCUCAAGCGUUGUUCGGAUUCAUUGGGCGUAAAGGGUGCGUAGGUGGCGGGGCAAGUUUGGUGUGAAAUCCCGGGGCUCAACCCCGGAACUGCACUGAAUACUGCCUUGCUUGAGCACUGGAGAGGGAACUGGAAUUUACGGUGUAGCAGUGAAAUGCGUAGAUAUCGUAAGGAAGACCAGUGGCGAAGGCGAGUCUCUGGACAGUUCCUGACGCUGAGGCACGAAGGUCAGGGGAGCAAACGGG